UCAAAUUAAUUUGGUAAAUAACUUUUUGAGUAAAAGCUUUUUGGACGGAAUGUCUUUAUCUUUCUAGCAGGUGGGGUGAUUCAAUCGGAUUUUAAUCCAAUCCUGAGCGCAUGUUUUCUCCCCUUUCCAGUAAAAUAGCAGGCGAGAUAAACUUAUGUUAGGCCUAGUGUUAACAUUACCUGUUUUUUUACACUGAACUUCUGGUAUAGUUUGAGUCUUUUGUUAAUAUUUUGACAUAUAUUCUCCACCUCCCCAUGUAAUGUUGUUUCAGAUAAUUUUCAUAUCAUAUUAAAUCUUAAAAUACUGUGCGUGUGUGUGUGUGUGUGUGUGCGCGUGUGUGUUCUGUUGUGUGUGUGUUAUUUUGCAGCUUACAGCUCAUUCAUGUGCCACUGGUCUUGCAGUAUUUCAUCUUUUCCAAACAACCGAGUAAAUUUACAGCUCAUUCAAGUGCCACUGGUCUGUUUUUGGAGAAUUUCAUCUUUAAGGUGCUGUGAGAAAGAGCCAUGUCUACCGUGCCGCCACUGAUGAUGACAUUACAAAACACGUAAUACGGUGGUUCAACUUGGCAGCAGAUAGGGGAAACUCAAGGAGCCGUCCCACUGUCAGCACCCAACAGUAGCAUUUCGGUGUUUCACAGUUAACUUCUGUGUUUUGAAGUGUUCGUUUAACAGUUAAGUAGUAACAGUUGAGAUAAAGUUUACUACUUUAAAUAGUUUUGUUUCUAUUCAUCUUCAAAAAACCCAGUUUCCACACAAAAAAAUAAGCAGUGCAACAUUAAUAAGAAUAAAUGUUUCUUG